rnacentral:rRNA from 1 species
GAUGAACGCUGGCGGCGUGCCUAAUACAUGCAAGUCGAGCGAACGGAUAAGGAGCUUGCUCCUUUGAAGUUAGCGGCGGACGGGUGAGUAACACGUGGGUAACCUACCUAUAAGACUGGGAUAACUUCGGGAAACCAGAGAUACUACCGGAUAACAUUUAGAACCGCAUGGUUCUAAAGUGCAAGAUGGUUUUGCUAUCACUUAUAGAUGGACCCGCGCCGUAUUAGCUAGUUGGUAAGGUAACGGCUUACCAAGGCGACGAUACGUAGCCGACCUGAGAGGGUGAUCGGCCACACUGGAACUGAGACACGGUCCAGACUCCUACGGGAGGCAGCAGUAGGGAAUCUUCCGCAAUGGGCGAAGGCCUGACGGAGCAACGCCGCGUGAGUGAUGAAGGGUUUCGGCUUGUAAAACUCUGUUAUUAGGGAAGAACAAAUGUGUAAGUAACUGUGCACAUCUUGACGGUACCUAAUCAGAAAGCCACGGCUAACUACGUG